rnacentral:rRNA from 1 species
CAGUCGCCGCGGUAAUACGUAGGGUGCAAGCGUUAAUCGGAAUUACUGGGCGUAAAGCGUGCGCAGGCGGUUAUAUAAGUCAGAUGUGAAAUCCCCGGGCUCAACCUGGGAACUGCAUUUGAGACUGUAUGGCUAGAGUGUGUCAGAGGGGGGUAGAAUUCCACGUGUAGCAGUGAAAUGCGUAGAUAUGUGGAGGAAUACCGAUGGCGAAGGCAGCCCCCUGGGAUAACACUGACGCUCAUGCACGAAAGCGUGGGGAGCAAACAGGAUUAGAUACCCGCGUAGUCCCUGUCUCUUAUAA